GUUAUAGGGUCAAGCGAACAAGUGCAUGUGGUGGAUGCCUUGGCGAUCACAGGCGAUGAAGGACGCGGUAGCCUGCGAAAAGCUACGGGGAGCUGGCAAACGAGCUUUGAUCCGUAGAUGUCCGAAUGGGGAAACCCACUCCUUAUGGAGUAUCCAUGGCUGAAUACAUAGGCCAUGUGAAGCGAACGCGGUGAACUGAAACAUCUAAGUAACCGCAGGAAAAGAAAUCAACCGAGAUUCCCAAAGUAGUGGCGAGCGAAAUGGGAUGAGCCUUGCACUCUUUAUUUGUAUUGUUAGCCGAACGC
rnacentral:rRNA from 1 species